rnacentral:misc_RNA from 1 species
GAUGAAGAACGCAGCGAAAUGCGAUAAGUAAUGUGAAUUGCAGAAUUCAGUGAAUCAUCGAAUCUUUGAACGCACAUUGCGCCCGCCAGUAUUCUGGCGGGCAUGCCUGUUCGAGCGUCAUUUCAACCAUCAAGCCCCAGGCUUGUGUUGGGGACCUGUGGCUGCCGCAGGCCCUGAAAACCAGUGGCGGGCUCGCUGUCACACCGGGCGUAGUAGAUUUUAUCUCGCUCAGGGCGUGCUGCGGGUUCCGGCCGUUAAAAAGCCUUUUUUACCCAAGGUUGACCUCGGAUCAGGUAGGAAUACCCGCUGAACUUAAGCAUAUCAAUAAGCGGAGGA